rnacentral:lncRNA from 1 species
UUUUUUUCUUUUUUUUUUUUUUUUUACUGGGCUGUGGAACAUUCUUUUCAAAGACACAUAAUUUUUGACUUCAAGAUUCCAAAUGAUUAUGAGUUUGUCACUUCCCAUGAGAAGAAAUGUCAGUCAUUAAUUGCCCUCCAUCUAGCAAGAUGCUCAAAAAUAAGGUCAGAUUCAUUAUGUUUUCCAAAGUUGCAUUUAAUUGGCAGUUUAUAUGUUUCAGACUUCUGCUUUCACCCUCAGUAAUAUCUUGUUAUGCCUUUAACUGCUAGAUUAAACAUUCCUACAUCUCAGAUCACAGAUUGCUGUAUAAAGCAGACUAUGAAAGAAAAGUAGUCACUUUAAUCACAUUGCUUAAGUCACUGUGGGAAGUAAUUCCAAUAGCUAAGAAAAUAAUAUAAUUACUUUUGUUUCAAUUGCUUUGUUUUUCCUCUUUAAUUUACCAACAUAGCAGACAAUCCUAAAAAGCAGCUAUUACAAAAAUGCAUUUUAAAGUGAAAGAUUUGCCUGGAUUAAUUUUCAUUUCCAAUGAACAAUCCUUGUAUUCUGUACCUGAAGAACAGGCAAGGAAAGGAAAGAAGCCAUUUUUCCUUCUUGAAACUAAAGGGUGUAAUUUUCAGCUGUUUAUUUGGGUUUUGUCAACACAUCAGAAAACCAUCUUAACUACUGUGAUUCCCAUUAAUUAGCUCACUGGAAUAAAUACAGCUGUCAAAGCAAAAUAGGGUAUUGUGGAAUUUCCACACACAAUAAAUCAUUACCCCUUUAAAGGACAAAUGUUAGAAUUAAUAAAAAUUUUUAAGUACAUGAAACUGACAGCACACACUGAAAAAUGCUUAGAUUUUGCACAUUGAAUCUAAUUUUUGUUUACAGAAAGUAUUGCAUGAAAUGGAACCAAAAUUUCAUAUCAGGAUGAUUUUUGUAUAUAAAAUUGCUGUCAAUUGAGAAUAUUAAUCUAAAACUGAACAUUAAGAAGUUAAAUUACUGAAAACACAAAAGAUUAUUUUUUUUUUCUUCUGAAUGCAUAGUACUACAUCCAAUGGUACCUGUGUGAUAAUAUGUGCAAAACCUGAAAUCUAUUAAAAUAUCUGCUGUUCCUGUAUUUAAUCUCUACCAAAUUAAGUGUUAAUAGAUUGUGGCCUAAUUGUAACAUGAUGUUUAAUUUUUCAUCUUAUGCAAAAUUUUACUGUGGGGAAGGGGAAAACAGCAAGAUGUUUCUCAUUUUAAAAGUGCAUGUUUGCUGCUGCAGCUGCAGCUUUGGCUUCAUUUCAUAGUUAGAACUCUCAAAGGGCAUAGAAAGAACAGUAACAGCCACUAUGGCCCCAAACUUAUCACCUCCUAAAUACAAGUGGAAAAUUUAGACAGGAGGAAAAUUAAACCUGGUUUCUCUUCUAAUAAAAGAUUUUCACUAAAAAAAAAAAAACAAGAAACCCUAAAAAAACACCAAAAAGACCCCAAACACAUUAACUAGUAAAUUUAGACCAAUGUCAGUGAACCAAAAUCCAGAAAAGAAAAUAACUGCUUUUUUAGUAAUUUUGAGAAUGUUGAAUUUUCCAUUUUCCCCCUCGUGACACACUUUUCUGCUUUUCAUCAGGAAAAAUCUUCUGAUAAAGAGCUGCAUGAGCAGAAAAAAGUAAUUCUUUUGAACACGUACACACGUAUACCAAAAGGUUCCAUCUAGAUAGCAGGAAUAUCCACAGUAUGAAUUCUGAAAUAAUAUAAUAAUGUUCAUUUAUUGUGAGCUCUCAACUCCUCACCUUUGCCCUGCUGAUGAAUCCAUUCCUCUUGGGAUGAGUGGAACAGUACCAGACUCUCAGAAAUUUGCCAAAAGCAGGAGUUCUGUGAGACUGAAAAAAAAAGAUGAUUUCUAAAGUGAAAGUAACUGGCCAAAAAAAAAAAAAAA